AUAAAGGUCUGGAUCUCAGCCUGGGCUCUCUUCCUUGGGUCUAUGCUGAACCUAACUGGAAACUGGGUGGCAAGAGUUGAUACAGUCCACACAGGUCGGCCUCCUGGGCAGAGAUCAGAGUAGGACAGGAUGAAGAACACAUCUGGAGGGUCAAAGAGAAGCUAUGACACAGGGUAAAUACUUAAAAAGUACAAAUAAUGAAUGAUAUUGGGUUACAAAGGAAAUGAUGAGGACAGAGAAUAAGAAACACUAUAUUGUUGUGCAUAGUAGC
rnacentral:lncRNA from 10 species